rnacentral:sRNA from 1 species
GCUUUACAAAACACAGAUUAGAUUUCACAUUAUCUUAACAUUUGUAUCACAAAAAUCUAGGCUAAUGAUAUUAGCCAAAUGUUUGGACUCAAAUGAAAGACCUUGCCAAAGAAGUAUCCAACACUAGUCCUUAUCUAAAUCAGAAGAAAUGCCAAUACCUUAUGGCAAAGGAGGAAGGGAGAAAGUUUUGGGUCUUCCUAAGAACCUACAAGAUGUGCUAAAGAUUCUCGAUUGGAUUAAAAUCAGGAACAUUGCCCGGCCUGUCCAAGAUCCUUUGUAUAAAUCAGGCAACAUAAAACAGCAAGGUUAAAAAAAUGGCAAGGAGCAGAAAAGUCCUAGAAGAUGAGGAAGUGUGCCCUCAAUAGACCCGUUCUUCGACUUCACUACUAUCCGAACCAAACAGGUUUAUCUUUGACUACCAGUCCAAGUUUCGCUGAGUUUGGGCCAUUGGAACCUACUCUGGGGCUUUUCUAGUGUCAAAAGUGGUCUUUUUGCAGACCUCAAGACGCCACCGCUAAGGCUUAGUGCUAAUAAUCGGUACCAACCGAUUGAAUAAGCUCCCUUCUAAUAUCUUAUGGAAUUUUGAACCGUCUUUCGAUGCUCAAGCGUUUAAGAAGCGUCCGUUGGGGUGGCUCUUAUCUUACGUCCCGAGGCCUGUUUAUGGAGGACUUACUCAAGCUAAUGAAUGUAUCUACACAAUAAAAGUGUUUACCGACUGA